rnacentral:rRNA from 1 species
GAUGAACGCUGGCGGCGUGCCUAAUACAUGCAAGUCGAGCGAAUGGAUUAAGAGCUUGCUCUUAUGAAGUUAGCGGCGGACGGGUGAGUAACACGUGGGUAACCUGCCCAUAAGACUGGGAUAACUCCGGGAAACCGGGGCUAAUACCGGAUAACAUUUUGAACUGCAUGGUUCGAAAUUGAAAGGCGGCUUCGGCUGUCACUUAUGGAUGGACCCGCGUCGCAUUAGCUAGUUGGUGAGGUAACGGGUCACCAAGGCAACGAUGCGUAGCCGAGCUGAGAGGUGGAUCGGCCACACUGGGACUGAGAAACGGCCCAGACUCCUACGGGAGGCAGCAGUAGGGAAUCUUCCGCAAUGGACGAAAGUCUGACGGAGCAACGCCGCGUGAGUGAUGAAGGCUUUCGGGUCGUAAAACUCUGUUGUUAGGGAAGAACAAGUGCUAGUUGAAUAAGCUGGCACCUUGACGGUACCUAACCAGAAAGCCACGGCUAACUACGUGCCAGCCGCCGCCGUAA